rnacentral:misc_RNA from 1 species
AAAUGCGAUAAGUAAUGUGAAUUGCAGAAUUCAGUGAAUCAUCGAAUCUUUGAACGCACAUUGCACCCGCCAGCACUCUGGCGGGCAUGCCUGUUCGAGCGUCAUUUCAACCCUCAGAACCCCUUGCGGGAUCUGGCGUUGGGGAUUGGCAUCCAGCCAGCCCCGAAAUCUAGUGGCGGUCCCUCCGCGACCUCCCCUGUGCAGUAGCGAUACCUCGCAGCGGGACAGCGGUCUGACCACGCCGUAAAACCCCCAACUUCUCAAGGUUGACCUCGAAUCAGGUAGGAAUACCCGCUGAACUUAAGC